UGCCAGCCGCCGCGGUAAUACGGAGGGUGCAAGCGUUAAUCGGAAUUACUGGGCGUAAAGCGCGCGUAGGCGGCUUUGUAAGUCGGAUGUGAAAGCCCUGGGCUCAACCUGGGAAUGGCAUUCGAUACUGCAGAGCUAGAGUAUGGUAGAGGGAAGUGGAAUUUCCGGUGUAGCGGUGAAAUGCGUAGAUAUCGGGAGGAACACCAGUGGCGAAGGCGGCCAUCUGGACGGUGACUGACACUCAGACCCGAAAGUGUGGGUAGCGAACAGGAUUAGAUA
rnacentral:rRNA from 1 species